AACGCACAUUGCGCCCCUUGGUAUUCCGGGGGGCAUGCCUGUUCGAGCGUCAUUUAUACCAAUCUAGCCUGGCUAGGUGUUGGGCACCGCCGCCGGGCGGGCCUUAAAACUAGUGGCGGUGCUCUCAAGCUCUACGCGUAGUAAUCUUCUCGCUAUAGGGUCUUGGGAGAUGCUGGCCAGCAACCCCAAAUUUUUCUAGGUUGACCUCGGAUCAGGUAGGGAUACCCGCUGAACUUAA
rnacentral:misc_RNA from 1 species